AUGGAAGCGACGGCGGUGAGCUUGGCGAGGUCCGUGCUGAGCAGCGCGGGCUCUGCGGUCGCCGACGAGGUCGCGCGGCUCCUGGGCGUGCCCAAGGAGGUGGACUUCAUCCGCAACGAGCUGAGGAUGAUGCAGUCCUUUCUUAGGGUGGCCUCGGCGCGCCCGGACGCCGCAGCGCGCAACGACACCGUGCGGACCUGGGUGAAGCAGGUGCGCGACCUCGCCUACGACGUCGAGGACUGCCUCCUCGACUUCGCCCUCUACUCCGCCACCGUCUCCUCGUCGACGUGGUCGUGGCUCCCGGGGCCCCUGGCCGAACGCCGCCGCAUCGCCGCGCGGAUCCGGGACCUCAAGGCCAGCGUCGAGGAGCUGAACCAGCGCAACCUGCGAUACCACGUCAUCGUCGACCACUGCCCCACGACGCGCGGCGCCGAGGUGGACGUUGUUCAGCAGCAGCUGAUGCCGGACCAGGACGUGCUCUCCGCCGCAGAGGUGGCGUUCCAGGAGUGGGACAUCAUCGGGCGAAGCAGCGAGAAGGCUGAGCUCAAGGACAAGAUCUUGGGUGGCGACGACGCUAAGCUGUCUGUCGUGUCGGUGUGGGGCAUGGGCGGCAUGGGCAAGUCGUCGCUGGUGAGCAUCGUGCGCAACGACCCGGUUCUCCUCGACGCGUUCGACUGUGGCGCGUGGGUGACCGUGCCGCACCCGCUCGACAACGCCGACGAUUUCAGGCGGUGCCUCAGAAAACAGCUCCAGCUCGGAGCGGCAGCGCACGACGUCCGGGAGCACCUCAAGGACAAGCGGUACGUGAUUGUAGUCGAUGAUCUGCUCUCGCAGGAGGAAUGGACGCAUGUAUGGCAAGUCCUCAACUUCCACAACGGCAAGGGAAGCCGUGUAAUCGUCACGACGCGCCGCCAGGACGUCGCCCGGCACUGCGCCGGAAACGUUGGUGAGGGGUAUGGCCUUGUCUACGAGCUCAAGCCACUUGGGGAUAAUGAGUCCAUGAGUCUCCUGUGCAAGAAGGUCUAUAAUACAAGUAAUUUUAAUUUGCCUGUUGAAAUGGAGGAGCAAGCCAGCCGUAUUUUAAAGAGAUGUCGAGGUCUUCCACUCGCCAUUUCCACAAUAGGUGGUCUCCUAGCCAAUAGGCCGAAGACAAGCAUUGAAUGGAUGAAGAUGCAUGAACACCUUGGAGCAGAGUUGGAGUCUGAUCUUCGCAACAUCACAAAGGUGAUUGUCUCAAGUUAUGAUGGAUUGUCGUACCAUUUGAAAUCAAUCUUCAUAUACCUCAGUAUCUUCCCUGAAAACCAAGAGAUCAGAUGCACCUGCCUAUUGAGGCGGUGGAUGGCAGAGGGCUACAUAGCAAAGAACCAUGAUAUGCCCGUGGAGGAGGUAGGGGAACGUUUCUACAAUGAGCUUAUCAAUAGAAGCAUGAUCCAACCCUCAAAGAAGAAGAUUAUCCCUGGUGUGAGAGUUGCUCGCUGCAUGAUUCAUAGUAUGGUGCGGCAGAUCAUCCUAUCCAAGGCAGUUGAGGGAAACCAACUCUUCCUCAUUGAGAAGCAGUGCAAUGAGGUACCACAGAGUAAGAUACGCCACUUGGUAGUAUCUAGGUGGAAAGGCAGGGAGGAGAAGCUAGAAAACAUAAAUCUGUCAUAUAUUCGAUCAUUGGCGAUUUUUGGAGAGUGCCCUGUUUCCCUCUGCUCUCCUAAAAUGCGGUUUCUGCGAGUGCUGGACCUAGAAGACACAAUCAAUAUGAGGAAUGAAGGCCUUAGGCACAUUGGGGAGUUGCCUCACCUUAGUUACCUUUCCUUGAGAGGAACAGAGAUUUCAAAGCUUCCAUCUUCUUUGCAAAAACUUCGUUACUUAGAGACACUAGACAUUGAAGACACAAAGGUGACAAAGCUCCCUCAUGGAAUUUUUAAACUUGAUAAGCUACGUUAUCUUCUUGCUGGAGUGAACUUCUCAAAAGAUCUAUUGCAAAAGCUGGUGCAACCAGAGAUGAAUAACAAAAACACAAACCUGUUGGGAAACAUGGCACCUUUUCUAUGCUGCAAUAGAAUGGAUUAUUGCAAUAUUUCCAACAUGGACCAACUUAGUGUAAGGGCUCCUGAAGGCAUCGAGAAGCUAAGGAACUUGCAUAUGUUUGGUUCAUUCAAUGUUGGCCAGGGCAAUUGUGUAGGAGGGAGGCUCGGGAAGCUGACUAACCUGCAAAGGUUAGGGGUCACAGUCAUAGGUCUCAUUGAGGAAGAAGGCUAG
rnacentral:rRNA from 1 species